GACGAACGCUGGCGGCGUGCCUAAUACAUGCAAGUAGAACGCUGAAGAGAGGAGCUUGCUCUUCUUGGAUGAGUUGCGAACGGGUGAGUAACGCGUAGGUAACCUGCCUGGUAGCGGGGGAUAACUAUUGGAAACGAUAGCUAAUACCGCAUAAAAUGGAUUAUCGCAUGAUAAUCCAUUGAAAGGUGCAAAUGCAUCACUACCAGAUGGACCUGCGUUGUAUUAGCUAGUUGGUGGGGUAACGGCUCACCAAGGCGACGAUACAUAGCCGACCUGAGAGGGUGAUCGGCCACACUGGGACUGAGACACGGCCCAGACGCCUACGGGAGGCAGCAGUAGGGAAUCUUCGGCAAUGGACGGAAGUCUGACCGAGCAACGCCGCGUGAGUGAAGAAGGUUUUCGGAUCGUAAAGCUCUGUUGUAAGAGAAGAACGAGUGUGAGAGUGGAAAGUUCACACUGUGACGGUAGCUUACCAGAAAGGGACGGCUAACUACGUG
rnacentral:rRNA from 1 species